GCACCAUUAAGGAGAUCCGGUAGAGUACCGCAUCUGUCAAAUAGAUAUUUUGAUUUUUUAUUUUGGGACAUGAUCCUAUUGAACUCAAUGAGAACAACAAAAAUUUGAUCACCUACAUGGAUGCCAUGCAAAGAUUUGACUCCGAUUAAUGGCUUGGAGUCAUGAGUUUGAAAUAGAGUCCAUGAAGGUCAAUGGUGUUGCUC
rnacentral:lncRNA from 1 species